rnacentral:rRNA from 1 species
GACGAACGCUGGCGGCGUGCUUAACACAUGCAAGUCGAGCGGUAAGGCCCUUUCGGGGGUACACGAGCGGCGAACGGGUGAGUAACACGUGGGUGACCUGCCCUCAGCUCUGGGAUAAGCCUGGGAAACUGGGUCUAAUACUGGAUAUGACUCCACGGUGCAUGUCGUGGGGUGGAAAGCCUUGUGCGGCUGAGGAUGGGCCCGCGGCCUAUCAGCCUGUUGGUGGGGUGANGGCCUACCAAGGCGACGACGGGUAGCCGGCCUGAGAGGGCGACCGGCCACACUGGGACUGAGACACGGCCCAGACUCCUACGGGAGGCAGCAGUGGGGAAUCUUGCGCAAUGGGCGAAAGCCUGACGCAGCGACGCCGCGUGAGGGAUGACGGCCUCGGUUGUAA